UUUCCGUAGGUGAACCAGCGGAAGGAUCAUUAAAGAAUCGUCCCGACUCCCAUACAUGGGUUCUAUUCCCCAUUCGUUUAUAGAUACUUUUGGCGCUUUGGCAGGCGGCCUCCGCGCCUCCCCCCCCGCCGAUCGCGCCGGCCACAGGACCCCAACCCUGCGUUUAGUUAUGUCCGAGUACUAAAUAAUAGGUAAAACUUUCAACAACCGAUCACUUAUUUCUGCCAGCGAUGAAGAACGCAGCAGCUCGGAAGAGCACACCUCUCAACCAGAGACACC
rnacentral:misc_RNA from 1 species